rnacentral:rRNA from 1 species
ACAUGCAGUCGAGCGACAGACGAGGAGCUUGCUCCUCUGACGUUAGCGGCGGACGGGUGAGUAACACGUGGAUAACCUACCUAUAAGACUGGGAUAACUUCGGGAAACCGGAGCUAAUACCGGAUAAUAUAUUGAACCGCAUGGUUCAAUAGUGAAAGACGGUUUUGCUGUCACUUAUAGAUGGAUCCGCGCCGCAUUAGCUAGUUGGUAAGGUAACGGCUUACCAAGGCAACGAUGCGUAGCCGACCUGAGAGGGUGAUCGGCCACACUGGAACUGAGACACGGUCCAGACUCCUACGGGAGGCAGCAGUAGGGAAUCUUCCGCAAUGGGCGAAAGCCUGACGGAGCAACGCCGCGUGAGUGAUGAAGGUCUUCGGAUCGUAAAACUCUGUUAUUAGGGAAGAACAAAUGUGUAAGUAACUAUGCACGUCUUGACGGUACCUAAUCAGAAAGCCACGGCUAACUACGUGCCAGCAGCCGCGGUAAUACGUAGGUGGCAAGCGUUAUCCGGAAUUAUUGGGCGUAAAGCGCGCGUAGGCGGUUUUUUAAGUCUGAUGUGAAAGCCCACGGCUCAACCGUGGAGGGUCAUUGGAAACUGGAAAACUUGAGUGCAGAAGAGGAGAGUGGAAUUCCAUGUGUAGCGGUGAAAUGCGCAGAGAUAUGGAGGAACACCAGUGGCGAAGGCGACUUUCUGGUCUGUAACUGACGCUGAUGUGCGAAAGCGUGGGGAUCAGACAGGAUUAGAUACCCUGGUAGUCCACGCCGUAAACGAUGAGUGCUAAGUGUUAGGGGGUUUCCGCCCCUUAGUGCUGCAGCUAACGCAUUAAGCACUCCGCCUGGGGAGUACGACCGCAAGGUUGAAACUCAAAGGAAUUGACGGGGACCCGCACAAGCGGUGGAGCAUGUGGUUUAAUUCGAAGCAACGCGAAGAACCUUACCAAAUCUUGACAUCCUCUGACCCCUCUAGAGAUAGAGUUUUCCCCUUCGGGGGACAGAAUGACAGGUGGUGCAUGGUUGUCGUCACCUCCUGUCCUGAAAUGUUGGGUUAAGUCCCCCAACGAGCGCAACCCUUAAGCUUAUUUGCCAUCAUUAAAUUGGGCACUCUAAAUUGACUGCCCGUGACCACCCGAAGAAAGGUGGGGAUGACGUCAAAUCAUCAGGCCCCUUAAUAUUUGGGC